UGGACGCUGCAGCUGCUGGGCCUGG
rnacentral:piRNA from 1 species